UACGUAGGGCGCAAGCGUUAUCCGGAAUUAUUGGGCGUAAAGAGCUCGUAGGCGGUUUGUCGCGUCUGCCGUGAAAGUCCGGGGCUCAACUCCGGAUCUGCGGUGGGUACGGGCAGACUAGAGUGAUGUAGGGGAGACUGGAAUUCCUGGUGUAGCGGUGAAAUGCGCAGAUAUCAGGAGGAACACCGAUGGCGAAGGCAGGUCUCUGGGCAUUAACUGACGCUGAGACGCGAAAGCGUAGGGAGCGAACAGG
rnacentral:rRNA from 1 species